rnacentral:tRNA from 1 species
UAGAGACUUAGGAUAGCACUUAGACCUGGGGCCUUCAAAGCCCCCAGCGGGAGAGAAAACCUCCCAGCCUCUG